UCACACACAUCACACGCUUGUGUUUACACUCUUAUCGCAGUUAUCAGUCAAGAAAAGACGAGCGUCACAGUCUGUGAAUGACUCAUGACGUGUCAUCGGUUUGUAGUCUUUGAUCAACAUCGCUGUUGCUAUAGAAACCGAGGCACUAAUGAUCGGAAGUCCGUUCCUCGUCACUUUCAUCUGAUUCUGCAGAAACAGCAGCGGUGGGCGUGGCUCUUCACUCUUAACCCCGCCUCUCUUUGUGUGGAACAUUAUAAGAAUCCUUCAGCUCACAGUGACCCAUCACCUGCCUCAGACCCGCGUGCAGGCUACUGGUUUGGAUUCAUAUUCACGAGUUUUCUACAGAGUGAAUAAAGAGCUCCUCAUCACUAACACAGAGAAAAGACAUCAGUCGGUUUGAUAACUCUGUUCGGCUCGUACGUGAAGAUUUCAGUUCUUCAUCUGAGCUGAAUCAUGUUCAACGUCACAGUGUCGUGUUCAGAGAUUCAGACUCCUGUGGGGUUUGUGUACGUGAUUCUGUCUGAUUUACUGAAUAAAACACACAAUCCUGACUGUGAUCAGAGCUGGUAUU